rnacentral:lncRNA from 1 species
UCAGCUUCGACGGUCGUCGCCCUGUCCUUCCAGGCCGCCCGGAUAUCUCCGAACCUCCGAUACCCGGCCUCCAGUUCGGACAUAGUGUAAAUCAACUGCAAACGAGGACUGACCGUCAGAGAGAUGAAGUAACAAAGAUAGUAAGGGAGGAAGAAGGCGAGGCAAGACUUACCCUGAUCAUGGUCGGGUAAAAAGAGGAUAGCAUCUCGAUCACCUGUCGAGCCUUCAGAACCUCCACAUCGGCUGGGAGGAGGGUCCCCUGACAUAGCCUCCUGGCCAAGUUAUGGUCGGCCAGGGCCGACGCUCCCUCAGGGACCCGAACGCC